AACCAAAAUGAACUAUUCAGACAAAAGUUAUUAGCUUUUAUUAGGAAAAUGGCUUGAGAUUCACAUUUUUAUCUGUUGUCUUUUACGAACUAGGACACCUGAGGGUCUGCUUAAGAUAUGACAAUGACCAGACCAUCUCAGAUGUCUUUAUUUCAUUUUAUCUCCGACUUGUGCUACUCGUAAUAUAGUUUUUAAGGGCCUAAAACUGAUUUUGGAAAAAACUUCACCAGUUUUAGGCCCAUAAACUGUUGAAAUCUUUAUAAUUAAAGUCAAUAUUGUCUUUCCUAGUUUAGGUUUAUUGUCUUUCCUAAUUUAGGUUUAUUCCUAUUUAGAUUUCUUCCUAUAUUGGAACAAUCUUGUGUAUAUAUAUAGUGGUGUAGAGAUUGAAAAUAUAACACAUAAUAAAAA